rnacentral:snRNA from 1 species
AUACUUACCUGGCAGGGGAGAUACCAUGAUCACGAAGGUGGUCUUCCCAGGGCGAGGCUUAUCCAUUGCACUCUGGAUGUGCUGACCCCUGCGAUUUCCCCAAAUGUGGGAAACUCGACUGCAUAAUUUGUGGUAGUGGGGGACUGCGUUCGCGCUUUCCCCUG